rnacentral:rRNA from 1 species
GACGAACGCUGGCGGCGUGCUUAACACAUGCAAGUCGAACGGAAAGGCCCUGCUUUUGUGGGGUGCUCGAGUGGCGAACGGGUGAGUAACACGUGAGUAACCUGCCCUUGACUUUGGGAUAACUUCAGGAAACUGGGGCUAAUACCGGAUAGGAGCUCCUGCGGCAUGGUGGGGGUUGGAAAGUUUCGGCGGUUGGGGAUGGACUCGCGGCUUAUCAGCUUGUUGGUGGGGUAGUGGCUUACCAAGGCUUUGACGGGUAGCCGGCCUGAGAGGGUGACCGGCCACAUUGGGACUGAGAUACGGCCCAGACUCCUACGGGAGGCAGCAGUGGGGAAUAUUGCACAAUGGGCGGAAGCCUGAUGCAGCAACGCCGCGUGCGGGAUGACGGCCUUCGGGUUGUCAACCGCUUUCGCCUGUGACGAAGCGUGAGUGACGGUAAUGGGUAAAGAAGCACCGGCUAACUACGUG